UAACAACUCACCUGCCGAAUCAACUAGCCCUGAAAAUGGAUGGCGCUUGAGCGAAAGACCUAUACCUAACCAUUGUUGGCAUGUGACACAUGUGAUGAUUAUUAAUUAUCGUCGUGUACGGCUGGCCACAAUGAGUAGGAGGGUCGUAGCGGUUGCGUUGAAGGCGUUAGGUGUAGACCUAGCUGGAGCUUCCGUUAGUGCAGAUCUCGGUGGUAGUAGCAAAUAUUUAAGUUCGAUCCUUGAAGACUGAAGUGGAGAAGGGUUCCACGUGAACAGUAGUUGAAUGUGGGUCAGUCGAUCCUAAGAUACUGGCUUAUGCCUUGUAUUAUUAAGAGAGACAAGUUUCUAUCUUUUCUUUUAGAUAUCGAAAGGGAAUAGGGUUAAUAUUCCCUAACGUAGACACAGAGAUUAUGAUUCGUAUGAACCAUUUGCGCGGUAACGCAUUCGAACUUGGUGAACGUCGCUCAAAAACCGAGCUAGAGUUUGCAUCUUUAGUUAAGGAACGGACUCCCUGGAAUCGGUUCAGCCGUAGAUAGAGACGUUGUUUCCGUAAAGUAUCGCGGUUUCUGUAAUAUCUCGUGUUUUUUGGAAGAUCCAUGAAAAACUAAGUGAGGAUAUUAAUCUGUGCUACAUCGUGCCGAUAGCCGCAUGGGUUCUCCAAGAUGAACAGCCUCUAGUCGAUAGAAUAAUGUAGGUAAGGGAAGUCGGCAAAUUUGAUCAGUAACUUCGGAAAAGGAUUGGCUUGAGUGACCGGGUCGGUUGGCUUGUUAAGUGAUGCUUGUACGGAUCUAUCCAUGACCGAUGUGAAAACGUUAUGUAUACCUGGUUACCAUAGAUUGCCAUGAAGAUUUUAUAUUCUUUUUGCCUCCUUUAGAUGAUUUAUAAAUAACUCAUCAAGU
rnacentral:ncRNA from 1 species